UAUGAUUUUUUCGUAUGACAUAUAUUUGUAUCUCUCUAAUAUAAUGGUUUUGAUUUUGCAGACCAAAACUACUAAUCGGAUGCGCUGAACUCAGGAAGUAAGGGAGUAUGACAAUUCAAUUCGACGGUAUGAAGGUUUUGUAUUUAGUAUUGGACCCUCAGUAUCUCAGGAUAGGCACGGUCUCUCACCUCCCUGUUUCACGAAGGAUUAGUUUCAGUAACGUUUGAUGUUCAUCCUACUGCCUCUGGUUAGUCAAAUCCGUAAUGGUCUCGAGGUGCAUUCAGUCUAUCUAAUUUCCUUCUCAUUAACGCCAUUGAUCUACCACCUCUACUACUCCGCAUUUAAGACAUCCCCGUCUUCCUCCAUGUUAGCCAAUCUAGACCUAUAAAUAAGAGUCUGCAUCGUAGAUACACAUCAUUGCUCCUUAUCGAACACUAUACUAAGAGAAUCAAUCACCAACUAUGUCGACCUCCCCAUUUUGAUCGCCUAUUUGAAAGCCGGCUACUGUCACGAACACCGUCAAAGUCCGAUUGUUGAGGUUUUGGAAAGCUCAUGGGGUAGACAUGUCCUCUUCGACCAGAAGGUAAUUUCGGCCAUCCAUGUCCUCUUCGACCAGAAGGUCUUCAAAACGAAUUGCAGUAUACUAGGAAAAUCUAUGUCACCGGCACGGAAGAGCACACAAAACCACCAUGAACGUGCUUAUAAUAGCUGGAAUCAUAGGAGAAGAAGGCAUCGAGUGAAAAAGCUGAAUUUUAAUUGAACAAGAGAUUCACAUGUUGCGAGAAAAAAGAUUUGCUCAAUGGAAAGAGAGGUUUUCCACAGGAGAUCAUAUAAGGAAGUGGAACUCAGGAGCAUCCAACACUUAUAUCCUUUAGAGACCCUGACCAUCUUUAUUUUCACUAAGUUUUUGGAGAAGAUGGGGAAGAUACAAUAUCUUCAGACCUCAAAGCAUGUCUAAAUGAAGAAGAAGACAGAGAUCUGGUGUCUUUUGUUGGGAGGUAGCAAACGUGUGGGACAACAUAGUUUGGCUUAUCAGUAAAGAGCAUGCUUUCAAGAAGACUAUGUUUCUCUCGGUCGUAAAACUGUGACUUCUCAACGCCUGCAAUUCAUCGGAUCCGCUACCAAUCUUCCUCUCCCACAGUGCCGCCUCCUAUGCAGCCUUCAUCAACAUCAGCAUACAGUUUUGCAUUUAACAUUUUUUUUAUCGUCUAACUUUAGACAAUUGUACUUAAUACAUUACCACUUACAUACUAGUGUUAUAGUUAACUAGUAAAUUUAGACACUAAUAUUAUC